rnacentral:rRNA from 1 species
UACGGGGGGGGCAAGCGUUGUUCGGAAUUACUGGGUGUAAAGGGUCCGUAGGUGGCUUGCUAAGUCAGACGUGAAAUCCCUCGGCUUAACCGGGGAACUGCGUCUGAGACUGGCGAGCUUGAGUGCAGGAGAGGAACGCGGAAUUCCAGGUGUAGCGGUGAAAUGCGUAGAUAUCUGGAGGAACACCGGUGGCGAAGGCGGCGUUCUGGACUGAAACUGACACUGAAAGACGAAAGCCAGGGGAGCAAACGGG